AGGUGGGGAUGACGUCAAAUCAUCAUGCCCCUUAUGACCUGGGCUACACACGUGCUACAAUGGGAAGUACAACGAGUUGCGAAGUCGCGAGGCUAAGCUAAUCUCUUAAAGCUUCUCUCAGUUCGGAUUGCAGGCUGCAACUCGCCUGCAUGAAGCCGGAAUCGCUAGUAAUCGCGGAUCAGCACGCCGCGGUGAAUACGUUCCCGGGCCUUGUACACACCGCCCGUCACACCACGAGAGUUUGUAACACCCGAAGUCGGUGAGGUAACCUUUUUGGAGCCAGCCGCCUAAGGUGGGAUAGAUGAUUGGGGUGAAGUCGUAACAAGGUAGCCGUAUCGGAAGGUGCGGCUGGAUCACCUCCUUU
rnacentral:rRNA from 1 species